rnacentral:rRNA from 1 species
GACGAACGCUGGCGGCGUGCUUAACACAUGCAAGUCGAACGGAAAGGCCCUGCUUUUGUGGGGUGCUCGAGUGGCGAACGGGUGAGUAACACGUGCGUAACCUGCCCUUGAUUUUGGGAUAACUUGAGGAAACUGGGGCUAAUACCGGCUAGGUGCUCCUGCUGCAUGGUGUGGGUUGGAUAGUUUCGGCGGUUGGGGACGGACUCGCGGUUUAUCAGCUUGUUGGGGGGGUAGUGGCUUACCAAGGCUUUGACGGGUAGCAGGACUGAGAGGGGGACCGGCCACAUGGGGACUGAGAUACGGCCGGGACUCGUACGGGAGGUAGCAGUGUGGAGUAUAGCACAAUGGGCGGAAGCCUGAUGCAGCAUCGCCGCGUGCGGGAUGACGGCCUUCGGGUUGUGAACCGCUUUCGCCUGUAACGAAGCGUGAGUGACGGUAAUGGGUAAAGAAGCACCGGCUAACUACGUG